AUUGGUGGUUUUUACUCCAGAAAUAGAAGAACAGAUGCAGGAAUUACUAAACGGGAAAGAGACCUCUGAGGAAUUACUGAAAAAGAAGACCCACCUCCUGUCCAUCUCCUAAGAAUUGCUAAACGUGAAGGAGCUUAGGUUUUAUUGCUAUCAGAAAAUCUCAGAACAACUUCAAUGCUUCAUCCAUUUGCUUCAAAUGUUGUUAGAUCUAUAUUUUGGUGCCAUUUUCUUAAUCAAGUUAGAUUUAAAGAGCAGUAGUGCUGAUAUGGAGCCAAAUCAAGUUUUUGAUCUUCUCAAUAUGUAAAGUUGCGUAAGGAGGACUUUUGUAUAUACAAGGACUUGGAAUCUGCAUUUCCAAAUAGUUUUUCCAAUACGCUUUGUUGAACAUCUUAGGCAGAUUGGAAUCAGAAAAUUUAUAGGGGAGGAAGAUCAAGUAAAGCUCGUAGAGUACAUUUUGCAGCAUGUGAUCCUUUGAAAAAGAUGACUCUGUAUAGAGUUAUAGAACCUUUGAAGUCUUCAUCAGAAGGUUGCAACAGCAUUUUGUCAUUCAAAAAAUGUUCGAUGGAUUGCCAGAUAGAGUUCCAAGAUAAUUGGACUGAAUUCAGGAAUCGGAAAUACUGAGGUGACAAAUAUGUGUCCAUAUGACUAGUUUAACUCUCUCUCUGUUAUAUUUUUUUUCUGCUUCUCCUUUUUGUCUGGGGCAUGAUGGUGUUCUCUUGAUGAAAUCUUCUUUUGUAAUGACUUAUUGAAGUUGU